UCCGGUUGAUCCUGCCGGAGGCUACCGCUAUUGGAGUUCGAUUAAGCCAUGCGAGUCGCGAGUCUUAGGGACUCGGCGUACCGCUCAGUAACACGUGGGUAACCUGCCCUAUGCUGGGGGAUAACCUCGGGAAACUGAGAAUAAUACCCCAUAGUUCACCACGCCUGGAACGGUGGGUGGAUGAAAGCUCCGGCGGCAUAGGAUGGGCCUGCGGCGUAUCAGGUUGUAGGGGGUGUAAUGUACCCUCUAGCCAUCUACGCGUACGGGUGUUGGGAGACAUCGCCCGGAGAUGGAUUCUGAGACACGAAUCCAGACCCUACGGGGUGCAGCAGGCGCGAAAACUUGGCAAUGCGAGCAAUCGUGACCAGGGAACUCCAAGUGCAUCGGGUAAGACCGAUGCUUUUCUUGACUCUUCAAAGGUCUUGGAAUAAGGGGUGGGUAAGGACGGUGCCAGCCGCCGCGGUAAUACCGGCGCCUCAAGUGGUAGUCGCUUUUAUUGGGCCUAAAACGUCCGUAGCCGGUUUGGUACAUUCGUGGGUAAAUCAAGGCGCUCAACGUCUUGAAUUCUGCGAGCACGGCCAGACUUGGGACCGGGUGAGGUGUGGGGUACUCUCAGGGUAGGGGUAAAAUCCUGUCAUCCUGAGAGGACCACCUGUUGCGAAGGCGCCACACUAGAACGGAUCCGACGGUCAGGGACGAAGCCUAGGGGCACGAACCGGAUUAGAUACCCGGGUAGUCCUAGGUGUAAACGCUGUGGACUUGAUGUUGGGAGUGCUCCGAGCACCCUCAGUGUCGAAGCGAAGGUGAUAAGUCCACUGCCUGGGGAGUACGGUCGCAAGGCUGAAACUUAAAGGAAUUGGCGGGGGAGCACUGCAACCUGAGGAUUGUGCGGUUUAAUUGGAUUCAACGCCG
rnacentral:rRNA from 1 species